CUUGUGCACAGAGGUGUGAAGGGUGCCAGAAGGCUGGUGCCAGCGGUGGACAGGCAGGAAAGUGAUGGUGUGUCUCCGGCAGCAGCACUCACCUCAGGGCAGCAAGGAGCUGAAAUCCCUGCAGAGGAUGCCAGGUGCAGGUUUUCAUUUCCAGUGCAAGCCUAGAGAGCCCAAAAGAGAUCGAUAGCAGGACAGAUCAACCUUGGUAGAUCGAGAGGCACCAGCAGGACUUGAGUGUCUCCAGCCUGGGACUGUCCAGAGGGAGGUGAGGCCUCCUCUGGUCACUGGGCCCUACACAGAGCCCAUCUGGGCUGGCAAUGGCUGCUAAAGGUCCAGUGAAGGGUAUCAUGAGGGCUAGAGGUAAUCAAGAGAAAUAGUUAAACCAUGGCUGAAAGGGCAAUACACCUUCCUUUGGAGUGGAGUGAUACGAGUCAUCACAAAAGUGGUUGCAUCUGCAACCCUGAGAGGAUUUCCAGUAGACAAGUGCACUCACGGUGGCACGUAACGCCAUCCUCGGAAGCUGGCAGGACAUCCUGAAAAAGACGUUCCUCACCUCGGGCAAUGAGACAGCCAAAUGUUCCUGCUCACACUUGUCCUUGGAGGCUUUCUUUGGUGUCCAUCCGCUGGAAGCUGGCCGUAGGCAUGAGCAUUCUGAGCGUCUGACCCAGCCCAUCCCACAAAUCUUCUCACCAUCGCAUCUCCCAGGCCACCUUGGGGACACCUUCCUGCACCGCCACCCAGACCACCACCUCCCUCUUCCAUAUCACGCAGAUGGCGGUGGCAGCCGGUGGCAAGAAGAGGUGGAAUCUGCUCAGCAGCACGGGGAGCAGUCGGGAAGGCACGUUGUGUGUUUUUUUCUCUCUGCUCUACUCGUGCUGUAUGCUGUUUCCAGAGUCAAACAAUUUUGCUGCCUUUUGCCAAUAUACUGUCUAGUAGGAGACCAUCAAACCUACAGUUAUGCUGCAGCAAAGCAUACAGAAAGCCUAAGGCCAAGAGCUUCAAAUCUGAAACCCACACUUUGGCUCAUGGCAUAACUAUAUGCGUAAAAAUGGGAGGAUCCCGAUUCCUCACUCCACUCCAGUGGUUUUGUGCUAGUUUAACGCUCAAUUUCCGUGUAAUGAGGCUGUAAUAAAAGCAGUAUAACGGAGUAGAGCGGCA
rnacentral:lncRNA from 1 species